rnacentral:rRNA from 1 species
GAUGAACGCUAGCGGCAUGCCUUACACAUGCAAGUCGAACGAAAACUUCGGUUUUAGUGGCAAACGGGUGAGUAAUGCGUGAGAAUCUACCUUUAAGAGGGGGAUAACUUUUGGAAACAAUUGCUAAAACCCCAUAGGCCUUCGGGUGAAAAAGUUCUAACUGCUUAAAGAGGAGCUCACGUCUGAUUAGCUAGUUGGUGAGGUAAUGGCUCACCAAGGCGACGAUCAGUAACUGGUCUGAGAGGACGAUCAGUCGCACUGGAACUGAGACACGGUCCAGACUCCUACGGGAGGCUAGCAGUGGGGAAUUUUCUACAAUGGGCGGAAGCCUGAUAGAGCAAUGCCGCGUGAGGGACGAAAGCCUACGGGUUGUAAACCUCUUUUUUCGAGGAAGAAGAUAUGACAUGAAUCGAAGAAUAAGUAUCGG